rnacentral:rRNA from 1 species
UUUGGUAAAGCUACUAAGGGCGUACGGUGGAUGCCUUGGUACAUGGAGGCGAUGAAGGACGUGAUAAGCUGCGAUAAGCCUCGGGGAGGUGCAAACAACCUCAGAUCCGGGGAUUUCCGAAUGGGGCAACCUGUCUCGGGUUAUGCCGGGACACUCCCAGUUGAACACAUAGACUGGGUUGAGCUAACGGGGCGAAUUGACACAUCUAAGUAACCCUAGGAAAAGAAAACAAUCGUGAUUUCCUCAGUAGCGGCGAGCGAACAGGAAAGAGCCAAAACUUCGAUCAUGUUAAAGUCCGUAGACGUUGUGAUUGGAGUGUUGUGAGGCAGUUCCGGAGUCUGUUACGGAAGACUCGGGGAGUCAAAAAACCUGAUGUUAGUUGAACGGCAUGGAAAGGCCGGCCAUAGAAGGUGAUAGUCCUGUAAACAAAAACUGAUGGUCUCCCUGGGAACUGUUCUCGAGUAGCACGGUACACGUGAAAUUCCGUGUGAAGCUGCCAGGACCAUCUGGCAAGGCUAAAUACUCCCAUGUAACCGAUAGUGAACUAGUACCGUGAGGGAAAGGUGAAAAGUACUCCUAACGGAGAGUGAAAUAGAACCUGAAACCGUAUGCCUACAAGCAGUCGGAGUUCCGAUUUAUCGGGAUGACGGCGUGCCUUUUGCAUAAUGAGCCAGCGAGUUGCUCGUAUGUUGCAAGGUUAAUCCCUUUAUGGGAGGAGCCGCAGCGAAAGCGAGUCUUAAUAGGGCAAUUCAGUAACAUGCGGCAGACCCGAAGCCGAGUGAUCUAUCCAUGGCCAGGUUGAAGCGACAGUAACAUGUCGUGGAGGACCGAACCCACCAGGGUUGAAAACCUGGGGGAUGAGCUGUGGAUAGGGGUGAAAGGCCAAUCAAACUCGGCGAUUUCUGGUUCUCCCCGAAAUGCCUUUAGGGGCAGCGUCGUGGAAGUGCCUCGGGGGUAGAGCACUGGAUGGACUAGGGGCCCUACAAGGUUACCAAACCCAACCAAACUCCGAAUACCGAGGUUACGAUCCCCGGCAGUGAGGCCACGGGGGAUAAGCUUCGUGGCCGAGAGGGAAACAACCCAGACCAACAGCUAAGGUCCCAAAAUCUGAGUUAAGUGACUAAGGAUGUAAGAUUGCACAGACAGCUAGGAGGUUGGCUUAGAAGCAGCCAUCCUUUAAAGAAAGCGUAAUAGCUCACUAGUUAAGGAAUCUUGCGCCGAUAAUCUCCGGGACUUUUAAACUUAGUACCGAAGCUCUGGUCCCGGCACAUUUGUGUCGGGAGGUAGGGGAGCGUUCCAUCAACCUGUGAAGUCCUAGACGGGAGUCAGGAUGGAGGAAAUGGAAGUGAGUAUGCUGGCAUGAGUAGCGAUAAUUCCAGUGAAAUUCUGGGACACCAAAAGCCUAAGGUUUCCUGAGUAAAGUAACUCUGCUCAGGGUUAGUCGGUCCCUAAGCCGAGGCCGAAAGGCGUAGGCGAUGGAUAACAGGUGAAUAUUCCUGUACCACCCAAUCAUCGUUUGAACGAUGGGGGGACGCAGAAGUGAAAGAUCAGCCCGGUUUUGAUUGUCCGGGUUUAAGUGUGUAGGGAGUUCUGGCAGGCAAAUCCACCGGAACCAUCCUGAGACACGAAUAGGAGGGCCUAGCCCACAAACUGAUCCUAAUCAUGCUGCCAAGAAAAUCCUCUAAGUGAGAUUUUUGGGUGACCGUACCGUAAACGGACACACGUAGGCGAGAAGAGUAUUCUAAGGUGCUUGGGUUAAUCGUGGUAAAGGAACUCGGCAAAUUGGCCCCGUAACUUCGGGAGAAGGGGCGCCUCAAGUAGGUAAAGGCCCUCGCGGCCGGAGCCCAAAGAGGUCGCAGAAACCAGAGUUGAGCGACUGUUUACCAAAAACACAGGUCUCUGCUAAGUCGCAAGACGAAAUAUAGGGACUGACACCUGCCCGGUGCCGGAAGGUUAAGUAGAGGGGUUAUCCCCCGACUUGUCGGGAGAGAAGCUCUGAAAUGAAGCCCCGGUGAACGGCGGCCGUAACUAUAACGGUCCUAAGGUAGCGAAAUUCCUUGUCGGGUAAGUUCCGACCCGCACGAAUGGUGUAACGACUUGACUACUGUCUCUACCACGAGCCCAGCGAAAUUGUAGCGUCGGUGAAGAUACCGGCUACCCGCGGCAGGACGGAAAGACCCCGUGAACCUUUACUACAUCCUGACAUUGGGUUUUGGUUCUGUAUGUGUAGGAUAGGUGGGAGGCUUUGAAGCUCGGACGCUAGUUCGGGUGGAGCCAACCUUGAAAUACCACCCUUAUAUUGCUAGAAUUCUAAUUCCGACCCUUGAAUCAGGGCGGGAAACAGUGUCAGGUGGGUAGUUUGACUGGGGCGGUCUCCUCCUAAAAAGUAACGGAGGAGCCCAAAGGUUCCCUCAGCACGGACGGUAAUCGUGCAAAGAGUGCAAAGGCAUAAGGGAGCUUAACUGCAAGGCCGACAGGCCGAGCAGGUGCGAAAGCAGGGCUUAGUGAUCCGGUGGUCCCGAAUGGAAGGGCCAUCGCUCAACGGAUAAAAGGUACUCCGGGGAUAACAGGCUUAUCGCCUCCGAGAGCUCAUAUCGACGAGGCGGUUUGGCACCUCGAUGUCGGCUCAUCACAUCCUGGGGCUGAAGAAGGUCCCAAGGGUUGGGCUGUUCGCCCAUUAAAGUGGUACGUGAGCUGGGUUCAGAACGUCGUAAGACAGUUCGGUCCCUAUCCGCCGUGGGCGCAGGAAACUUGAGGGAUGCUGUUCCUAGUACGAGAGGACCGGAACGGACGAACCUCUGGUGCACCAGUUGUCUCAUCAGAGGCACUGCUGGGUAGCUACGUUCGGAUGGGAUAAGCGCUGAAAGCAUAUAAGUGCGAAACCCUUCCCAAGAUAAGGUUUCCCUUCCCCUUCGGGGGAGUGAAGGUCCCCUGUAGACGACAGGGUUGAUAGGUCACAGGUGUAAGGUCAGUAAUGGCUUCAGCCGAGUGAUACUAAUUGACCGUCAGGCUUUGCCAAAU